UGAGGAUUUCACCAAUUUGGUCCUCGACUACCAAAAUUACUCAAUUUGGUCCUUGACUAUGACAUUUUUACCUGAUUUGGUCCUAAGUGUUAUUUGCAAGUCAAACCUAAAGGGUAAUUUUGAAAUUUAAAAAAAGUAUCUUCCUUCUUCUUCCCUAAAUCUAAGUCGUUUGUUUUAUAUAGAUAGGUUAUUUGUUUUCGAUAGCAGUCGCAGCUUCAAUAUGCAACCAAAGUGCCGUGAAUCAUCUUCAUCCAGCUAUAAUAAUCGAAUGAUGUU